rnacentral:rRNA from 1 species
AGCAGCCGCGGUAAUUCCAGCUCCAAUAGCGUAUAUUAAAGUUGUUGCAGUUAAAAAGCUCGUAGUUGAAUUUCGGGAUCAAUCUAUCGGUCGUGCAAUAGUACGUACUGAUUUUAUUGAUUCCUCCCUUCUGAUGAACUAUGAUGUCAUUAAUUUGGUGUCAUAGGGAAUCAGGACUGUUACUUUGAAAAAAUUGAGUGUUUAAAGCAGGCUCACGCUUGAAUACAUUAGCAUGGAAUAACGAAAUAGGACGUUUGAUUCUAUUUUGUUGGUUUCUAGGAUCGACGUAAUGAUUAAUAGGGUAUAGUUGGGGGCUAUUAGUAUUCAAUUGUCAGAGGUAAAAUUCUUGGAUUUAUUGAAGACUAACUACUGCGAAAGCAUUUGCCAAGGAUGUUUUCAUUAAUCAAGAACGAAAGUUAGGGAUCGAGACGAUCAGAUACCGUGUAGUCUUAACCAUAAACUAU